UCCUGGGUGGCUCGGUUGGUUAAGCAUCUGAUUUCGGCUCAGACUAUGAUCUUGCAGUUCGUGAGUUCAAGCCCCACAUCAGGAG
rnacentral:tRNA from 1 species